rnacentral:rRNA from 1 species
UACGAGGGGGCGAGCGUUGUUCGGAAUUAUUGGGCGUAAAGGGCGCGUAGGCGGUGCGGUAAGUCACCUGUGAAACCUCUGGGCUUAACUCAGAGCCUGCAGGCGAAACUGCCGUGCUGGAGUGUGGGGAGAGGCGAGUGGAAUUCCCGGUGUAGCGGUGAAAUGCGCAGAUAUCGGGAGGAACACCAAUGGCGAAGGCAGCUCGCUGGGACGGUACUGACGCUGAGGAGCGAAAGCGUGGGGAGCGAACGAGG